CAAACGGCCCUUUUCAGGGCCACAUAUGGCCAGUAAAUGUUGGGC
rfam:Aedes albopictus isolate Foshan contig164569, whole genome shotgun sequence.